rnacentral:tRNA from 1 species
AGCGGGGUGGAGCAGCUCGGUAGCUCGUCGGGCUCAUAACCCGAAGGUCGCAGGUUCAAAUCCUGCCCCCGCCACCA